AGUGAACGCUGGCGGUAGGCCUAACACAUGCAAGUCGAACGGCAGCACAGGAGAGCUUGCUCUCUGGGUGGCGAGUGGCGGACGGGUGAGGAAUACAUCGGAAUCUACCUUUUCGUGGGGGAUAACGUAGGGAAACUUACGCUAAUACCGCAUACGACCUACGGGUGAAAGUGGGGGACCGCAAGGCCUCACGCGAUUAGAUGAGCCGAUGUCCGAUUAGCUAAUUGGCGGGGUAAUGGCCCACCAAGGCGACGAUCGGUAGCUGGUCUGAGAGGAUGAUCAGCCAAACUGGAACUGAGACACGGUCCAGACUCCUACGGGAGGCAGCAGUGGGGAAUAUUGGACAACGGGCGCAAGCCUGAUCCAGCCAUACCGCGUGGGUGAAGAAGGCCUUCGGGUUGUAAAGCCCUUUUGUUGGGAAAGAAAUCCUGUCGAUUAAUACUCGGUGGGGAUGACGGUACCCAAAGAAUAAGCACCGGCUAACUUCGUGCCAGCCGCCGCGGUAA
rnacentral:rRNA from 1 species